rnacentral:misc_RNA from 1 species
GAAAUGCGAUAAUUAAUGUGAAUUGCAGAAUUCAGUGAAUCAUCGAGUCUUUGAACGCACAUUGCGCCCCCUGGUAUUCCGGGGGGCAUGCCUGUCCGAGCGUCAUUGCUGCCCUCAAGCACGGCUUGUGUGUUGGGCUUCCGUCCCUGGCAACGGGGACGGGCCCAAAAGGCAGUGGCGGCACCAUGUCUGGUCCUCGAGCGUAUGGGGCUUUGUCACCCGCUCCCGUAGGUCCAGCUGGCAGCUAGCCUCGCAACCAAUCUUUUUAACCGGGUUGACCUCGGAUCAGGUAGGGAUACCCGCUGAACUUAAGC